rnacentral:rRNA from 1 species
CGGAUGUAGCAAUACAUUAGUGGCGCACGGGUGCGUAACGCGUGGGAACAUGCCCUUGGGUAAGGAAUAGCUACUGGAAACGGUAAUUAAUACCUUAUAAUGACUUCGGUCCAAAGAUUUAUCGCCCAAGGAUUGGCCCGCGUCUGAUUAGCUAGUUGGUGAGGUAAUGGCUCACCAAGGCGACGAUCAGUAGCUGGUCUGAGAGGAUGAUCAGCCACACUGGGACUGAGACACGGCCCAGACUCC